ACACUGCUGAGGAGUCCCAUAAUAGGACGAAACAGCUGUCCAGUGA
rfam:Schistosoma rodhaini strain Burundi genome assembly, scaffold: SROB_scaffold0008202